CCUACGGGAGGCAGCAGUGGGGAAUCUUGCACAAUGGGGGAAACCCUGAUGCAGCGACGCCGCGUGAGUGAAGAAGUAAUUCGUUAUGUAAAGCUCUAUCAGCAGGGAAGCAAAUGACGGUACCUGAGUAAGAAGCCCCGGCUAACUACGUGCCAGCAGCCGCGGUAAUACGUAGGGGGCAAGCGUUAUCCGGAUUUACUGGGUGUAAAGGGAGCGUAGACGGCAGUGCAAGUCUGGAGUGAAAGGCGGGGGCGCAACCCCCGGACUGCUCUGGAAACUGUACGGCUGGAGUGCAGGAGAUGUAAGUGGAAUUCCUAGUGGAGCGGUGAAAUGCGUAGAUAUUAGGAGGAACACCAGUGGCGAAGGCGGCUUACUGGACUGUAACUGACGUUGAGGCUCGAAAGCGUGGGGAGCAAACAGGAUUAGAUACCCGGGUAGUC
rnacentral:rRNA from 1 species